UAAAAUAGAAAAGAAACAACCUAGGGGAAUCUAUCCCAUAAUGUGCAUCACACACCACUAAAAAUUGCAAAAAAUAAAAUAAAAAUAAAAUGAAAACACUAGGAUAAAGCAGUUGAAAAGACGCAAACAUUCUUCACAGCUAGAAAUGCAUGCCCAGAAAAGCUCCAACGCCACAAGCGUAAGUCACCGAUCAAAACAAGGUUGAAGCUGAAACAAUAAUUGCUAGAAAGGAACCAGAUCUAGCAAGAAUCGUGAGGUCCGUAAUCAUAACCACAAAAUCAGACCCUCCCCUUUCGAUCACUAUCCAACAUCGCCUGAAUUGAUGUUCGUCUCUCCUCCACCUAAUAGACAUCCCGCCGCCAGAGGAAAAUAUAAUGGAACUUAUCGUCGAUUUGUCAAUAUCAGCAACAUUAAGCUUGGAGAUGAGCACCUCUGAAUCACCCUCUAGUUCAACAUUCUUAAACCCCAAAUCCUGAGCAACAUGGAUUGCCUGAACGCAAGAAAGGGCCUUCGAUGUCAGCGGACAAGAGAUGUUGUCCUGCCAGAAAAAAGCCAAUCCUAAAAGCAAUCCAGCAGAAUCCCGAACAACAACCCCAACGCAGGCAGCCUGUAGAAAAACCCCGCAUCAAAAUCAACAUAGACCUAAUGAUCGAUAGGAGGCUUCCAAAGCAUAGGCUCCACAGCCAGAACCAAACCCCUAUUCGACAGAAGAAAGUUUAAUUUGCGUAGAUACCUUAAAAAAAGAUAAGUAACGUCUAAACCGAUUGAUAAAUGCCCUCAUGAACGAUUUUAUUUUGAGUGGCCCAGAUAGUCCAUAUGGUGAGAAUAGAGAGUUGUACAUGGAUUCUAGGGCAAUCGCGACAAACAUGGAGGAUGGUCUUAGGGCCACAACCACAGCGAGGACACAUAUGAUCUGACUCAAGUCUGUGUUAAUACAAGUUAACCUUUAUAGGGUCGUGGACCGGGAAGCAAGAAUCAUCCCAUACCGAGAUGGAGUGCCCAUUCUCCACAUACUAACCACUUCCCAUUUUGAGGAGAUCUUUCGCAACCCAGAUACUAUGCCAAACAAAUGAAGAUCAAGAAACACGAAAACAGGACUUGGACCAGGGGAAGGCUAAGCAAGUAGAGUAUAUAGUCUAGCUGCCUACAUUUUGUAAUCCGAGUGCCGCCAAAGUAGCUCGUGGAUCAUCGCAUACGUCGAAGAAGUCAGUCACACUAUCAUUUGAAGCACUUGGUAUAGUUAGUUCUUUUAUUUGAGUAUGACAUGUAUAGGAUCUUUUAAUUUUAUUUUAGUGUCACAUUGUUUUGGGGCUAAAUGUAUUGGCUUACUUUAGUAUUUGACUCAUUUUGUAUAAGGCCAUGAAAGAUGGCUAAUAUUGAAAGUUGUUUUAUGAAUACGAGAAGGUCUUUUAGGAAUAA